rnacentral:rRNA from 1 species
CGCCAGACUCCUACGGGAGGCAGCAGUGGGGAAUAUUGCACAGUGGGGGAAACCCUGAUGCAGCGACGCCGCGUGAAGGAAGAAGUAUUUCGGUAUGUAAACUUCUAUCAGCAGGGAAGAAAGUGACGGUACCUGACUAAGAAGCCCCGGCUAACUACGUGCCAGCAGCCGCGGUAAUACGUAGGGAGCAAGCGUUGUCCGGAAUUACUGGGCGUAAAGGGCGCGUAGGUGGGCACUUAAGUCAGGUGUGAAAACUCCGGGCUCAACCUGGAGACUGCACUUGAAACUGGGUGUCUUGAGGGCAGGAGAGGAAAGUGGAAUUCCUAGUGUAGCGGUGAAAUGCGUAGAUAUUAGGAGGAACACCAGUGGCGAAGGCGACUUUCUGGACUGUACCUGACGCUGAGGCGCGAAAGCGUGGGUAGCGAACGGGAUUAGAUACCCUAGUAC